rnacentral:lncRNA from 1 species
GGGCCUUGAUCUUCCCUGUGACCAGUGAUUGUUCUGAAGCCCCACGGGGCUGCGGGCCACCGGAAGCCUAGAAGAAAGAAAACCAUCUAGUUGGAGGGUCCAAGGCUUUCAUGCCACUGUACCAGGAAACUGGGCAGAAGGUGGGGUUUAGAUUGUGUCACAUGGUCCUCCGGUGUGGCAUCUAACGUGCCGUGUUUGAGGUGUGCGCAUGAGCCUUCCUUGAGGACAGUCCAAUGACUUGCGCUUCUUUCUCCUCUGAACGGCUGUCCUCGAUUCUCCUUGUGUUGUUCAAACACCGCUGUCUCACCUCCUCACCUGCACGGCUUAUCUGCCGCUUUCCAGAGAGGCCUCCCUGAACCCCGAGUGUUACUCUCAGCGGUCUCUGCCUUCUUUAUGAAAAUAUGAAUCAGUAUUUGGAUUUAUUUUUGCCUUUCAGCUUCUAGGAAACACAGUACAAUAAAACAAAGAACCAGAAGAGGAAAGACGCCAGCUGUCUUGUUCCUAACUUUGGGACGGAGACCGAGAGCCCGGCUCAACGUCUGAGAAGGCGCAGAGUACUCGUGCUAGGAUUUUGUGUUCUGCAGUAGCGUGGGUAUUGAGUCCAUACAGUUGGCUGAGGAAUGGCUCUUGCCAUCAGUAAAACAUGUCGUCUCCUGCUCGCCUUGUCCCAUGAAUUAGCAGUGUUCAUUCCACCAACGGUGUUUUUAAAAGUGGAAACGCCCUACAAACUGUUGUUCUGAUUUUGAUUUUGGUGAGCUGAACUCCAGGCCCCUCACAGAAGCGAUACAGCAUCUCCUCAUGAGUGGCUUCGUUUCACUUACUUUAAUGUCCUUGAGAUUCAUCCUCAUCAUGGCCUGUGAUGGAAUUGCCUUCCCCUGAAGGUUGAAUGCUAUCCCUCAGCCGUAAAUCCUGCAUCGUUUUCACCUGCUCACCCACUGCUGGAUGCUUGAGUUGUUUGUUUUUGAUUUUUUGCCUCUUGGUUGGCGAGAGUCAUGGCACUAUGAACGUAGGUGCCCAGGUCUCUUUUGAGACACUGCUUUUACUUCUGGCAGUACACCCAGAGUGGGAUUGGCAUGUGUGUUUUUAAAAUUAACUUAACCACAGUGAAUUUCUUGGUACGAAGUCAAUAAGGAUGUGAGCACUGCCUUGGGUAUACAGUGGGCACAGGCCUCCAGCUUCUGAUGAGUGGCUUUUUUCUUUAGCCACUGUCCCAAGCUGAUGCCAGGCUUCUUUGCUGAACCAUUGUAUUGAACUUCUGAAUUUAUCGUUACGUCUGAGCAAAGCUUUGAGGCCCCUGGUUUUAUACAGGGGUGGAGUCUUUGCUUCCUGCUUUGCAGGGCUGGACUCUUCACCUUUUCUGCACAGGCAUUACACGUGUGACCCACGUCUUGUAUCUGCUUACAACCCUCUUGUCACCUGUUUGGUUCCCACUCCCAUUCGCUGCUUUUGCUUUCUUUCUGUUUUUGAAUGUUCAUUAAAAAGUUUAC